UCGAACGAGAAAGUGGAGCAAUCCAUGAGUAAAGUGGCGACCGGGUGAGUAACACGUGACUAACCUACCUCCGAGUGGGGAAUAACUCCGGGAAACCGGGGCUAAUACCGCAUAACAUCGCAAGAUCAAAGCAGCAAUGCGCUUGGAGAGGGGGUCGCGGCUGAUUAGCUCGUUGGCGGGGUAACGGCCCACCAAGGCGAAGAUCGGUAUCCGGCCUGAGAGGGCGCACGGACACACUGGAACUGAAACACGGUCCAGACUCCUACGGGAGGCAGCAGUGGGGAAUUUUGCGCAACGGGGGAAACCCUGACGCAGCAACGCCGCGUGGAGGAUGAAGCCCUUUGGGGCGUAAACUCCUUUCGACUCGGACGAUAAUGACGGUACGAGUGGAAGAAGCACCGGCUAACUCUGUGCCAGCAGCCGCGGUAAUACAGAGGGUGCGAGCGUUGUUCGGAAUUAUUGGGCGUAAAGGGCGCGUAGGCGGUGCGGUAAGUCACCUGUGAAAUCUCCUGGCUUAACUGGGAGCCUGCAGGCGAAACUACCGUGCUGGAGUGUGGGAAAGGUGCGUGGAAUUCCCGGUGUAGCGGUGAAAUGCG
rnacentral:rRNA from 1 species